CCUAUGCUUCAUACCCCAAACCUCCACCCAAGGAAGGAAAAAUCUCUUUGAUAGUAGUAUUAGUUUAUGCAGCCAGGGUGCGGAACUUUCCUUUUCUAACUAACUGGAUUAGUGCACCAAUAUACAGAAAUGUCAACUGAUGGCUGUGAAUUUUGCUCCUGAAAUAUACAAACAGAUUCUUCCAGAGCAUAGAGAUUCUUUAAAUGCUUUAGGAAAAGGAGCCAACAUCGUCAAAGAAGCUCAUAAUUUUCCAGCUUAUUGAAGGAGAGAGACUGUGACUGAGACUAUGCAUUAUACGCAAAUGUAUGAAUGUGGUUUGGUUUGUACCCUGCAGGACAUAAAGUCUGCAGUUCAUGCUCAUCCAAUGUUGUCUGAAGUUCUUGACUAACUCUUCAAAUCAGCCAAGGUAAAUGCUAGAGUCCCUAGUUCCGACUAGUGAAUCAAUUGCAGUAUAAAAGCUGGAGUAGAAGUUUUGGAGAGAACUUGGAUCAGGGAAUUUCAACAGACUGCACGUCUCCUCUGAAGGAGAAGAGAAGAGCCCACAGAUCACACGACGAGUGAGAACAAACAAAUUAGUUAGAGAACUUGCCUUUUUCUCGGGCCAGGCAUGAUACAAGAAUUGCAACAAUUUGUUUCUGGAGAUUGUAAUUCAAGUCAUUGCGGACUUAAUUUUGUUCGCAAACGUUUCCAUUUUGAAACUUGUUUUUUGAGAUAUUGUAUCAUAGUUUCUGUUACUA